AUGGUUUAUGUUAUUAUUAUUAUUAUUCAACUUGCUACAUAUGAGCAAAUUUAGUCCUUGUUUUCAUAGAUUACCAAUCAGUAAUAUUUUCUUUUCUUCUUCUGUUUGAGUAACUUGAUUGAAUGACAGAGUAUUUUCUGUGUUCCUUUCCUUCAAUUGAAAUACAUUUGGGUGUUACCCUUUCUACUCAGCGUCAUGGUCACCUAAACUGUGCUAUAACGUUGGUUUUCUUUUCAGUAUUGGGCGUGUUAAUCCGCAGAUAUAUGCUUUAGGGGCUGGAACAUGGAAUUUUGAAGAAAGAGUGGGAAAUUACAAAAAUCAGUCAAAGUUGGAAGAAAGGAUGCUGAAUUAUGCCAAUGUACUCUGCACCAAUUAUUGGCAGUUUGCUUUAGAAAGUAGUUACUGGAGAGCCAGUCUGCGCCAGGGGGACUACAUGAGAAUACUCUUCUACUUGUGAUGGGCGAUCAUGGGCAGACCGUAAAUGGAGAUCACGGUGGGGGGGAGUGCUAAAGAGGUUGAGACAUCAAAAUUUACAGUGAGCUUUAAGAAUCCCCCAUCUCCCUUACCGUCAGAGUUUGAUACUUCAUCUUGUGGACAGGAUUUGGUACUGCCUCUCUCCCAAAGUACACAUAUAUGCUUGCGGCUUAUACAUUACAUGUAGAUCUUCUUACAUUGAAUUAGUUGCUCCCUUAGCCAUCCUUUUCUUAUACUUCAGUGGAUGUUCAGUUUUAUUUCCUUGACGCAUAAAAUAUAAAUAUUUAAAAUGGUUGGACUGUGAGAUAUUUAAAUUCACAGAAAUUAGUUUUCACGGAAGUAGUUUGCCUUCCAGACGUGUGAUUAGAGUCGGAGUCCUAUUAGCCGUUGUAGAACUUUAAAGAAGAAAGUAUCUUUGUUGAAAUGGCAUUUUUAGUUAGGUUAUUAUGAGUCAUAAGCCAAUUUGUUUUCUUCUGAUUAA